rnacentral:misc_RNA from 1 species
ACGAGUUAGGGUCUCCCAGGCCCGAUCUCCCAACCCUUUGUUUACUUGACCAUCGUUGCUUCGGCGUGCCCGUCUCCAGGGACCGCCGGGGGACCGUGACACGUCUCCUGGCCCGCGCGCGCCGGUAGCCCAACCUCAAAAUUCUUUUUAACUAAACGUGUCUUAUCUAAGUACCAAAACUUAAUUAAAGCAA